UACGUAGGGGGCGAGCGUUGUCCGGAGUUACUGGGCGUAAAGCGCACGCAGGCGGUCUGCUAAGUUUGGAGUGACAGUUGGUGGGCUUAACUGCCAAAGUGCUUCGAAAACUGACAGACUUGAGGGCUUCAGAGGGACACGGAAUUCCGGGUGGGGUGGUGAAAUGCGUAGAGAUCCGGAGGAACACCAAAGGCGAAGGCAGUGUCCUGG
rnacentral:rRNA from 1 species